UGGGGAAUAUUGGACAAUGGGCGCAAGCCUGAUCCAGCCAUGCCGCGUGAGUGAUGAAGGCCCUAGGGUUGUAAAGCUCUUUCACCGGUGAAGAUAAUGACGGUAACCGGAGAAGAAGCCCCGGCUAACUUCGUGCCAGCAGCCGCGGUAAUACGAAGGGGGCUAGCGUUGUUCGGAUUUACUGGGCGUAAAGCGCACGUAGGCGGGCUAUUAAGUCAGGGGUGAAAUCCCGGGGCUCAACCCCGGAACUGCCUUUGAUACUGGUAGUCUUGAGUUCGAGAGAGGUGAGUGGAAUUCCGAGUGUAGAGGUGAAAUUCGUAGAUAUUCGGAGGAACACCAGUGGCGAAGGCGGCUCACUGGCUCGAUACUGACGCUGAGGUGCGAAAGCGUGGGGAGCAAACAGG
rnacentral:rRNA from 1 species